rnacentral:rRNA from 1 species
GACGAACGCUGGCGGCGUGCCUAACACAUGCAAGUCGAACGGGGUAGAGAGCUUCGGUUUUCUACUUAGUGGCGAACGGGUGAGUAACGCGUGAGAAACCUGCCUUUCAGUGGGGGAGAACAGUGGGCAACGACUGCUAAUACCGCAUAAUGUAUUCGGGGGGCAUCCCUUGAAUACCAAAGCUUGAUGUGCGGAAAGAUGGCCUCGCGUCGGAUUAGCUAUAUUGUGGGGUAACGGCUCACCCUGGCGACGAACAGUAGCCGGGCUGAGAGGCUGAACGGCCACAUUGGGACUGAGAGACGGCCCAGACGCCUACGGGAGGCAGCAGUGGGAAAAAUUGGGCAAUGGGGGAAACCCUGACCCAGCAACGCCGCGUGAAGGAAGAAGGCCUUCGGGUUGUAAACUUCUUUUAGCAGGGACGAAGAACGUGACGGUACCUGCAGAAAAGCAACGGCUAACUACGUGCCAGCCGCCGCCGUAACAC